GGAAAUUUGUUCUGUAAGGGGCCCCUCCCCUCUCUCACUGCUUCCUGGCUGCCAUGGGGUGAGCAGCUCUCCUCCACCAGGCCCUUUCACCAGGCUUCCUGCCUUGGAGCAGCAGACUAUGGACUGAAUCUUCUAAAAACAGAAAGGACUGGUGUCCCAGAGAAACCCCAGGACGACGUGGAUGUGAGAGAGCUACCUAUGGUGUGCGUUUGUGUGGAAAGAAAGAAGCACAGCAAAGCUACAAGAGGAAUGAGAAACACGUGAGGUGGUGGCAAGGCGAUCAUCCAGGUUGAUGACUACCCACCGUACGUGUACCAAAACACCACACUCGGACCCCAGAAAGGCGUGCAAGUAGUGCGCGCCAAUUAAAGAUACAAUUAUCAAAUUCCCAGAUCUAAAGAGCUCUAAAAUCCAGAGAUGUCCUCAAACCAUCCCGCAUCAAAACCUGCCCUGAAGUCUCACGAGUUCAUCCACA
ensembl:lncRNA